AUACGUAGGGUGCAAGCGUUAAUCGGAAUUACUGGGCGUAAAGCGUGCGCAGGCGGUUUUGUAAGACCGAGGUGAAAUCCCCGGGCUCAACCUGGGAACUGCCUUUGAGACUGCAAGGCUAGAGUACGGCAGAGGGGGAUGGAAUUCCGCGUGUAGCAGUGAAAUGCGUAGAUAGGCGGAGGAACACCGAUGGCGAAGGCAAUCCCCUGAGCCUGUACUGACGCUCAUGCACGCAAGCGUGGGGAGCAAACAGGAUUAGAUACCCUGGUAGUCCACGCCCUAAACGAUGUCAACUGGUUGUUGGGUCUUCAUUGACUCAGUAACGAAGCUAACGCGUGAAGUUGACCGCCUGGGCAGUACGGCCGCAAGGUUGAAACUCAAAUGAAUUGACGGGG
rnacentral:rRNA from 1 species